GUAGGGGGCAAGCGUUAUCCGGAUUUACUGGGUGUAAAGGGAGCGUAGACGGCAGCGCAAGUCUGAAGUGAAAGCCCGGGGCUCAACCCCGGAAUGGCUUUGGAAACUGCGCGGCUAGAGUACCGGAGGGGUAAGCGGAAUUCCUAGUGUAGCGGUGAAAUGCGUAGAUAUUAGGAGGAACACCAGUGGCGAAGGCGGCUUACUGGACGGUAACUGACGUUGAGACUCGAAAGCGUGGGGAGCAAACAGGAUUAGAUACCCUGGUAGUCCACGCGGUAAACGAUGAAUGCUAGGUGUUGGUGAGCAAAGCUCAUCGGUGCCGCCGCAAACGCAUUAAGCACUCCACCUGGGGAGU
rnacentral:rRNA from 1 species